GUCUUUGGGAUGAUCUAGGCCAUGCGAGUCAUUGUAGUAAUACAAGGCAGACGGCUCAGUAACGCGUAGUCAACCUACCCUAAGGACGGGGAUAACCUCGGGAAACUGAGAAUAAUACCCGAUAGAACAUAGCUCCUGGAAUGGUUUAUGUUUCAAAUAAUUUAUUGCCCUAGGAUGGGACUGCGGCCUAUCAGUUUGUUGGUGAGGUAAUGGCCCACCAAGACUAUUACAGGUACGGGCUCUGAGAGGAGUGGCCCGGAGAUGGGUACUGAGACACGGACCCAGGCCCUAUGGGGCGCAGCAGGCGAGAAAACUUUGCAAUGUGCGAAAGCACGACAAGGUUAAUCCGAGUGGUUUCUGCUAAAGGAACCUUUUGUCAGUCCUAGAAACACUGAUGAAUAAGGGGUGGGCAAGUUCUGGUGUCAGCCGCCGCGGUAAAACCAGCACCUCAAGUGGUCAGGAUGAUUAUUGGGCCUAAAGCAUCCGUAGCCGGCUUUGUAAGUUUUCGGUUAAAUCCAUGCGCUCAACGUAUGGGCUGCCGGGAAUACUGCAAAGCUAGGGAGUGGGAGAGGUAGACGGUACUCGGUAGGAAGGGGUAAAAUCCUUUGAUCUAUUGAUGACCACCUGUGGCGAAGGCGGUCUACCAGAACACGUCCGACGGUGAGGGAUGAAAGCUGGGGGAGCAAACCGGAUUAGAUACCCGGGUAGUCCCAGCUGUAAACUAUGCAAACUCAGUGAUGCAUUGGCUUGAUGCCAAUGCAGUGCUGCAGGGAAGCCGUUAAGUUUGCCGCCUGGGAAGUACGUACGCAAGUAUGAAACUUAAAGGAAUUGGCGGGGGAGCACCACAAGGGGUGAAGCCUGCGGUUCAAUUGGAGUCAACGCCGGG
rnacentral:rRNA from 1 species